rnacentral:rRNA from 1 species
GGGCCCGCACAAGCGGCGGAGCAUGCGGAUUAAUUCGAUGCAACGCGAAGAACCUUACCUGGGUUUGACAUGUAGAGUAAUCCACCGGAGAUGGUGGGUCCGUAAGGGCUCUAUGCAGGUGGUGCAUGGCUGUCGUCAGCUCGUGUCGUGAGAUGUUGGGUUAAGUCCCGCAACGAGCGCAACCCUCGUCCUAUGUUGCCAGCACGCCCUUCGGGGUGGUGGGGACUCAUGGGAGACUGCCGGGGUCAACUCGGAGGAAGGUGGGGAUGACGUCAAGUCAUCAUGCCCCUUAUGUCCAGGGCUUCACGCAUGCUACAAUGGCCGGUACAAAGGGCUGCGAUGCCGUAAGGUGGAGCGAAUCCCAAAAAGCCGGUCUCAGUUCGGAUUGGGGUCUGCAACUCGACCCCAUGAAGUCGGAGUCGCUAGUAAUCGCAGAUCAGCAACGCUGCGGUGAAUACGUUCCCGGGCCUU